GACGAACGCUGGCGGCGUGCUUAACACAUGCAAGUCGAACGGAAAGACCCUGCUUUUGUGGGGUGCUCGAGUGGCGAACGGGUGAGUAACACGUGAGUAACCUGCCCUUGACUUUGGGAUAACUUCAGGAAACUGGGGCUAAUACCGGAUAGGAGCUCCUGCUGCAUGGUGGGGGUUGGAAAGUUUCGGCGGUUGGGGAUGGACUCGCGGCUUAUCAGCUUGUUGGUGGGGUAGUGGCUUACCAAGGCUUUGACGGGUAGCCGGCCUGAGAGGGUGACCGGCCACAUUGGGACUGAGAUACGGCACAGACGCCUACGGGAGGCAGCAGUGGGGAAUAUUGCACAAUGGGCGGAAGCCUGAUGCAGCAACGCCGCGUGCGGGAUGACGGCCUUCGGGUUGUAAACCGCUUUCGCCUGUGACGAAGCGUGAGUGACGGUAAUGGGUAAAGAAGCACCGGCUAACUACGUG
rnacentral:rRNA from 1 species